rnacentral:rRNA from 1 species
GAGUUUGAUCCUGGCUCAGGAUGAACGCUAGCGGGAGGCCUAACACAUGCAAGCCGAGCGGUAGAGAGUAGCUUGCUACUCUUGAGAGCGGCGCACGGGUGCGUAACACGUGUGCAACCUACCUUUAUCUGGGGGAUAGCCUUUCGAAAGGAAGAUUAAUACCCCAUAAUAUAUUGACUGGCAUCAGUUGAUAUUGAAAACUCCGGUGGAUAGAGAUGGGCACGCGCAAGAUUAGAUAGUUGGUGAGGUAACGGCUCACCAAGUCAAUGAUCUUUAGGGGUCCUGAGAGGGAGAUCCCCCACACUGGUACUGAGACACGGACCAGACUCCUACGGGAGGCAGCAGUGAGGAAUAUUGGACAAUGGGUGAGAGCCUGAUCCAGCCAUCCCGCGUGAAGGAUGACGGCCCUAUGGGUUGUAAACUUCUUUUGUACAGGGAUAAACCUACCCUCGUGAGGGUAGCUGAAGGUACUGUACGAAUAAGCACCGGCUAACUCCGUGCCAGCAGCCGCGGUAAUACGGAGGAUCCGAGCGUUAUCCGGAUUUAUUGGGUUUAAAGGGUGCGUAGGUGGUUUGAUAAGUCAGCGGUGAAAGUUUGCAGCUUAACUGUAAAAAUGCCGUUGAAACUGUCGGACUUGAGUGUAAAUGAGGUAGGCGGAAUGCGUGGUGUAGCGGUGAAAUGCUUAGAUAUCACGCAGAACUCCGAUUGCGAAGGCAGCUUACUAAGCUACAACUGACACUGAAGCACGAAAGCGUGGGGAUCAAACAGGAUUAGAUACCCUGGUAGUCCACGCAGUAAACGAUGAUUACUAGCUGUUUGCGAUACACAGUAAGCGGCACAGCGAAAAGCGGUAAGUAAUCCACCUGGGGGAGUACGCCCGGCAACGGGGAAACUCCAAAGGAAUUGACGGGGGCCCGCACAAGCGGUGGGAGCAUGUGGUUUAAUUCGAUGAUACGCGAGGACCCUUACCAAGGCUAAAAUGCAGACUGACCGAUUUGGAAACAGAUCUUUCGCAAGACAGUUUACAAGGUGCUGCAUGGUUGUCGUCAGCUCGUGCCGUGAGGUGUCAGGUUAAGUCCUAUAACGAGCGCAACCCCUGUUGUUAGUUGCCAGCGAGUCAUGUCGGGAACUCUAACAAGACUGCCAGUGCAAACUGUGAGGAAGGUGGGGAUGACGUCAAAUCAUCACGGCCCUUACGCCUUGGGCUACACACGUCAUACAAUGGCUGGUACAAAGGGUUGCCAACCCGCGAGGGGGAGCUAAUCCCAUAAAGCCAGUCGUAGUCCGGAUCGCAGUCUGCAACUCGACUGCGUGAAGUCGGAAUCGCUAGUAAUCGUGGAUCAGAAUGUCACGGUGAAUACGUUCCCGGGUCUUGUACACACCGCCCGUCACACCAUGGGAGCGGGUCUCGCCAGAAGUAGGUAGCCUAACCGUAAGGAGGGCGCUUACCACGGCGGGGUUCGUGACUGGGGUGAAGUCGUAACAAGGUAGCCGUA